rnacentral:rRNA from 1 species
GUGGGGAAUCUUCCGCAAUGGACGAAAGUCUGACGGAGCGACGCCGCGUGAGUGAAGAAGGCCUUCGGGUCGUAAAGCUCUGUCAUCAGGGACGAACGGCCGGUGGAGUGGAAAGCCACCGGAUUGACGGUACCUGAGAAGGAAGCCACGGCUAACUACGUGCCAGCAGCCGCGGUAAUACGUAGGUGGCAAGCGUUGUCCGGAAUUAUUGGGCGUAAAGCGCGCGCAGGUGGGAUCUUAAGUCCAUUUUUAAAGUUCGGAGCUCAACUCCGUGAUGGGAUGGAAACUGGGAUUCUUGAGUACCGGAGAGGAAAGCGGAAUUCCCCGUGUAGCGGUGAAAUGCGUAGAUAUGGGGAGGAACACCAGUGGCGAAGGCGGCUUUCUGGACGGUGUCUGACACUGAGGCGCGAAAGCCUGGGGAGCGAACGGGAUUAGAAACCCCGGUAGUCC